rnacentral:rRNA from 1 species
UACGUAGGGCGCAAGCGUUGUCCGGAAUUAUUGGGCGUAAAGAGCUCGUAGGCGGCUUGUCACGUCGGGUGUGAAAGACCGGGGCUUAACCCCGGUUCUGCAUUCGAUACGGGCUGGCUAGAGUGUGGUAGGGGAGAUCGGAAUUCCUGGUGUAGCGGUGAAAUGCGCAGAUAUCAGGAGGAACACCGGUGGCGAAGGCGGGUCUCUGGGCAGUAACUGACGCUGAGGAGCGAAAGCGUGGGGAGCGAACAGG